CAGUAGCCGCGGUAAAACGUAGGUGGCAAGCGUUGUCCGGAAUUAUUGGGCGUAAAGAGCUCGUAGGCGGUCUGUUGCGUCCGCUGUGAAAACUCGGGGCUUAACCCCGAGCCUGCAGUGGAUACGGGCAGACUAGAGGUAGGUAGGGGAGAAUGGAAUUCCCGGUGUAGCGGUGAAAUGCGCAGAUAUCGGGAGGAACACCGGUGGCGAAGGCGGUUCUCUGGGCCUUACCUGACGCUGAGGAGCGAAAGCGUGGGGAGCGAACAGGAUUAGAUACCCCUGUAGUCCCUGUCUCUUAUAC
rnacentral:rRNA from 1 species